rnacentral:lncRNA from 1 species
AAACACUAAAAGCAAUGUCCAAUGUGACUGACAUUCUGAGGAAAAGAAUUGGCUGAAAAGUUUUUCACAUUUAUGAAUAGAAAAAUCACAAAAGGAACCAGCUGCUCCAGAAAGGCUAUGACCAUAUUAUGAUGCAAAAGCCAACAGAGAAAAGCCCACUGGAGGACCUCGGGCUGGCCUGGGAGGGGGGUGGAUCUGGCUCUGCUGUCUUCCUCGGCCAACUCAGAACUGAGCACUGAACGCGGGACUUGCAGGCAGAGAGGAGUAGCUGACACCAGAAAGUCAUGAGGGCUAAAGGAGUUCUUGAGCACAACGCACCAAAGAGUCUGGGACACAGCAGCUUUGGGUUCUCAUCCCCUCAGCCUCCUGCUUCUUAACACUGAUGUGAAGGACUGAGUUUUGCUGUUCAAGAAUUUCUGAUUCCUAAUAAGAAUGAAUCAUGUAAAUCAGACCCUGCGUGUGUGUUAGACUGUACACACGCUAAUGUCCUUGGGUACCUGUCACAGAAGAGUCUUGCCUGUGUUAGCCUAACUCCUUGAGAAGCUGCUAACUGAGAAAUCCUGCUGGGAGCUUAAGGAAGUCCUGCUGAAGUCCUUAGGUGGAGGUCUUAGACAUCAUCCUCGCAGGCUUCUGACAACGCUCCUGCAGAUAGGCGCCAUCUCCGCUGAGGCUUCUCUGCUGUCUCCAUGGUGUUUCAGGUGACAGCGGGUGUCUCCUGCAAUCACAGCAGCCUAUGUAGCUUUUUUCUUCAGCUAUGAUGUACAACUUUGGAGUACAUUAUGGCAAAAUAUACUCGGCCAUGCUUCACAGCAUCAGAACCGAUCAGUACCAGCAGCGAUAUCCACCCUGACCACAUCAGUGACCUCUUCGGAAGGAAGUGCUGAUUGUCUAGGGGGAGCUGGUAGCCUACGCGCCUGGUACAGACUCGGCCCAGGCUGCCUGCUGACACUCAAACGGCAGAGUGCAAGAAGGUGGGGUCUCUGCCCCCUUUCCUCCCAUGAGCACGCUCCGAGGAAGGAUAUUUUCUGCCUUUGAUUUCUAUUUUGGUGUAUCAGUGUUGUCAGUCUAAGGAGGAACUUUUAAAAUCCUAAGGGAAGGGCUGGGGAUUUAGCUCAGUGGUGCCUCCGCCUGCCUCACAAGGGCAAGGUCCUGAGUUCGAUCCCUGGUACCAAAAAAAAAACAACCCUAAGGGAAACGUGAGCAUUACUAGCUGCACACUCAUUUUGCAGUCUGUACAGACACGGUGGUUGUCUCUGGUUCUGGUUUCUGGCACUGUCUAUUGAGAACAUCCCGGAAUGCAACUGCCUAACUCUGAAACUUCCCAUUUACCUUUGACUCUGAAAAGAUUCACAAGGUGCCUUGAUGAUCCGCCUGACAGCCGGUCACAGAGGAGCCUAGGACUAACAGGCACAAAAAGGACGACUUGUCCAUUUGCACUUGCCCUGGGCUGUGUGAUGAUACGGAACAAGACGGACGACUGGACGUUUCAUAAGACAGCUGAGUCCCAG